rnacentral:rRNA from 1 species
UACGUAGGUGGCAAGCGUUAAUCGGAAUUACUGGGCGUAAAGCGUGCGCAGGCGGUUUGUUAAGUCCGUUGUGAAAGCCCCGAGCUCAACUUGGGAAUUGCAGUGGAUACUGGCAGGCUGGAGUACGGUAGAGGAAGGUGGAAUUCCCGGUGUAGCAGUGAAAUGCGUAGAUAUCGGGAGGAACACCAGUGGCGAAGGCGGCCUUCUGGACCAGUACUGACGCUCAUGCACGAAAGCGUGGGGAGCAAACAGG